rnacentral:lncRNA from 1 species
GCAGAAUAGGAACAAUCCGCUGUUAAUUAAUUCAGGCUCGUGCAGCUGAUCCGAGGCUCUGAAGUUUGCCACAAGAGGGUGAAAGACUCAUUUUGCUUUUUAAUAAGGGCCAUCUGUGUGCCAGGCGCGGGGAGCGACACCAGCACGGACGGACGGGGAUGCGAUGCCCGUGCUGCUCCUCUCCUCGCCCUGGCAAACCCAGUGCCAGGCUGGGAAACCACAAAGUGCCAGAGAAAGAGCCCCGCAGGGACACGGGGAAAAGGGGAGAUUUUCAGCCCGACGCCGUAAGUUUUUUUUUUUUUUUUCUUUUUUCGAGGCCUGACUCAUGAUUUUUUUAACACGUGGGGUUGGAAAUACGGAGUUAAAAAUAGCAAGCUGGCAGGCGCAGGGCUGAGACGGAUCAUCGUUAGUAAUUAAUUAAUGGAGUCAUGGAUUUUUAAGGCCUGAAAGGGCUCAUUUUGAUCAGCCCGCCUGUCUCUUUGGCAGCGGCAUCGAGCUUUGAUUUAAGGACCCAUGGUGAUGGAGAGCCCCCAGUACCCUGCUCCAGGCAGCCCAGGGCACCCCAUAUCUUGGAUUUGGGGCAGUGAGCACUCUGCGGGCAGGCGGAGACCCCCGGUACCAUCCCUGUUGGGUCCCCCAAGGCUCUGGGGGCUCUUGGGCAAAAGGGAGCGGGGACACACAAGAUCCCAGCCUCGUGUCCCCUUCCCGAGCAUCGCUGCCUCUCACGAGGCGUCGGAGCCGCGUGGGGAAGCUGCUGCGUCCUUAAAAGCUGGAGGCUGCUCCGCGCCAGGUAACAAAUGAAAAGAAUUGCCAUGAAUGCUAAUGGCCGGGGAAGCGCCUCGCUCGCUCGGGAGGACGCUGCGGGGCCGGGAGCCGCGGGCACAGCCCGGAUUUUGCAGGCAGGAGCCGGCCGUGCAGAGGGCGAUGCGACCGCGGAUACCCUGGCACACGGCUCCUGGACCAGCGUGUGCUGAGCUGCCACACCAAAACCAUUCCUUUUGCAGCAAAGCAGAGCCGGGGGGAUGCGUUGUCCCCUCCCAGGUCCCCGUGAUGACUUUUGCAGCACACCCAGGGCUCGGAGCAUGCAAGCCCCACGUCUAACCAGGUCCUUGCAGGCGGCGGUGAAGGGCUGUGCCAGGCUGAGCUGUUUGUAAAUGUAGCCGGUCUGGUAAGCAGGAGGGUAAACACGGAUGAAUAGCCUUCAUCCACUCCAGUAAAUAUUUUAUAUCACACACCAAGAAAAGACACUCCUAUUUAAAUGAUUUAUAAAGGAAGAUCAUGUAGAGGUUUCUAUAAAAUAUGUAGGGCUCCUAAUCCCGACAUCAUCAAGCAAAGAGGACUGAAAUCAUAUAUUACCUUUUCAACAGCCUUGCAGGCUGCAGGGAUACAACUGACAAAUAAAAGUGUGUUUACAGCUUUUGGGCUCCUCC